GUUUACAUCCAGAUAUCGCGAGAGCCAUCGUGAGACCCCCCCCCCGACGCACGUGCAGGGAGGAAAAGCCCAGGAUCCUGUCAGUCACGGACCAACAGCCAAUCAGAAGGAAAGGCCUUCGACCCCGCCCACAUCAAGGCAUUAGAAUCCUAUUUUACCGUCCGCUUCGGCGGUACGUAAUCCCGGAAGUGGCCUGGCUGAGGCAACAAAACCAAGGCCCCGGCUGGGUCCGCUCGUCUCCGGCCCAGAGCGCGUAGACGCCGCCCCGCAUCCUGGCGGGCGGGAUGAGGCGAACGAAGAGCGGCGAGGCCUGGGCACGGAAAGGGGGUGCCCCGGCAGGACGCACCCCCCCACCCCGCGGACAGGGAGCUGCCCUGUCAUAACGGGACAGGCCGGCCGGGCCAGAGCCGCCCGAGCAGCCCAGACGCGUGUUUGGGCGGGACACAGCUCCACCCGCUACGCCCAGGACGGUCCUGGGCUAGUGUCCCCCGUGCCCGGGAGCAGCGCGGCCACUGCAGGCAGCCCAACGAAACAUCAGUUAGCAAGACCGGCUGCGGAGACAUCAGGGCUAAAAUGGCCACUCGGCCUGAAGGGGGUUUUCGCCCACGAAAGCUUAGGCUCAAAUAAAUUUGUUAGGCUCUGAGGUGCCACAAGUCCUCCUGUUCUUUUUGCUUAUACAGACUAACACGGCUGCUCCUCUGAAAGCAUCCUGGUUGAUUAGGCAAUAGAUGUCCUUCUCCCGUCCGUAAAUAAAUUCUGGAAUCACCCUCCCUGGGAACAUGCUGUGUGCAAAACAAAAACCCGACAAACGCUGCCUUCAGAUGGCAUACUCCAACUUUCUCACGACAGUCUUGUCACGAGAGAGCUGUGUGAUACAGCUUGGAAAUAAAAUGUCAUGCACAGAACAAGCAGUUGCAUCCCCUUCCCAUACAUUUACAAGAUGACGGCAACUCUUGUAGAGCCACGUGUCACCCAUAAGGAAACUUCAUACUCAGAAACAGCAAAUGACAAUACCACAAGUUUGCAUCAUCCAGAAGGAUUCAAUUGUAUGAUUACUGAUCUAUAUCAUUAGUUACAAGAGUGAAUUUAAGUUAGGCCCUUGACAGAAAAAGAAGAGGAGAGGGUCCCUAACGAACAGAUAGAGUGUUUCUCAAAUGUAGCCACAUGUGGCCACCAGGGGGUUUUCUUACAGCCACCGACCCCUGGAAUUGGCAGGCAAGCAGCAGCCCCUCCCCUGGGGCUGCCAGCAGUGGUUGGGCCGUGGUCACCUCUGAGGAAGACAGCAAAACUGAAGGAACAGACAGCUAAUGAUGAACAGAUUGGUGUACAGUCAAGGAAGAUUCCCCCAACACCAUGCUGGCAUAAACCUUUGAGGUUUCUUUAUCUCCCUCUGAAGCACUGAAUAGGGACUACAAAAAUCAGCUGAGGGCUUACAGCCCUUUUUUGCAAAAGCAAAAAAAGAAGGAUUAAUACUAAUGGAGAGGAGGAGGAGGAGCAGCAGCAGCAGGAGAGGCCCUCACUUUAAUGACUUGGUUGUCCAAUGAAAAUGAGUGUGCAUAUCCGCCCAUCCUAAUGGACAGAGAAGCUUUUCAGUUUUCCAUAGUUUAAUAUGCAUGUUUAAUUCUGAUUAUUAGAAACCUGUAAGGGGGGGGGGAUGAAGCCUGGGACUUAAGGCAAAGAAAACAUUAGGACAGGUUAACAGUACUCUAGAGCAGCGGUUCUCAACCUGUGAGUCAGGACCCCCAAGGGCUGGCGUUACACGUUCUAGGGCUGAAGCUGAAGCCCGAGCCCCAGCGCCUGGUGCUGAAGCUGAAGCCCAAAAGCUUCAGCCUUAGGUGAUGGUGCUCAGGUUACAGAUCGCCCACCUGGGGCUGACGCCCUUGAACUUUGGCUUCUUCCCCUCUUCCUGGGCGGUGGGGCUCGGGCGGGCUCAGGCUUCAGUCCCCCCUUGUGGGGUCAUGUAGUAAUUUUUGUUAUCAGAGGGGGGUCAUGGUGCAAUGAAGUUUGAGAACCCCUGCUCUAGAAGAUCUAAAGCAAAAAACUUGCUCAAGGUAGCUUUUUCUCACAAAAACUUCCUUUUAACAGCUGUAUCACUUAUAUGAUUGCCAAAGCAUGAUCCAUAGUCACAUAAAAUGCUUCAGUUCAAAACAAGAGAA